UACAGAGACUGCAAGCGUUGUUCGGAUUCAUUGGGCGUAAAGGGUCCGUAGGCGGUCGGUUAAGUCGGAUGUGAAAUCUCGUGGCCUAACCACGAGCGGUCAUUCGAAACUAAUCGGCUAGAGGGCUGGAGAGGAGACUGGAAUUGUCGGUGUAGCGGUGAAAUGCGUAGAGAUCGACAAGAACACCGGUGGCGAAGGCGGGUCUCUGGACAGUUCCUGACGCUGAGGGACGAAAGCUAGGGGAGCAAACAGG
rnacentral:rRNA from 1 species